rnacentral:rRNA from 1 species
GACCUCAAAUCAGGUAGGGCUACCCGCUGAACUUAAGCAUAUCAAUAAGCGGAGGAAAAGAAACUAACAAGGAUUCCCCUAGUAGCGGCGAGCGAAGCGGGAUGAGCUCAAAUUUGUAAUCUGGCGUCCUCUGGGCGUCCGAGUUGUAAUCUAUAGAAGCGUUUUCCGUGCCGGACCGUGUCCAAGUCCCUUGGAACAGGGUAUCAAAGAGGGUGACAAUCCCGUGCUUGACACGACGACCGGUGCUCUGUGAUACGCUCUCUACGAGUCGAGUUGUUUGGGAAUGCAGCUCAAAAUGGGUGGUAAAUUCCGUCUAAAGCUAAAUAUUGGCGAGAGACCGAUAGCGAACAAGUACCGUGAGGGAAAGAUGAAAAGCACUUGGAAAGAGAGU